GGCGCUAUAGCCAAGUGGUAAGGCAGAGGUCUGCAAAACCUCUAUUCCCCAGUUCAAAUCUGGGUGGCGCCU
rnacentral:tRNA from 1 species